AUUCAUAUAGUAUACAAAUUAUAUUUGACUUCCAAUCAAAAGAGCUAGAAAACUAGUAUGAAUA
rnacentral:tRNA from 2 species